rnacentral:lncRNA from 1 species
CCCAAUCUGUUUUAUUUUAUAAAAAUUAUUUUUUAAAAUAAAAAUUUUAAAAACAUCUCGUGCCAUGGCCCAUAUGGGCCGUGCCGUGCUGUGCUAGCUCGAGCCUUGAAGGGCCGUGCCAGGCUUGGGCCAUGAACCACCAAACCUCCAGCCCAGCACGACUCGCUAUAGUAUUUGGCGGGCUGUGCCAAGCACGAUCCAGUUCAUGCUGGGCCGGCCCGAUCCGAUGCCCACCUCUAUUCUUGACCCC